rnacentral:rRNA from 1 species
GGCGUAAGGGGCGGUAAUACCUGGGAACGUACCCUGAGGUCGGGGAUAGCUGCUGGAAACGGCGAGUAAUACCCGAUGAUCUCGAGAGAGCAAAGGCUUGCCGCCUUCGGAGCGGCCCAGGCGAUAUUAGCUAGUUGGUGGGGUAACGGCCUACCAAGGCGUAGAUGUCUAGCGGGUGUGAGAGCACGACCCGCGCCACUGGCACUGAGACACUGGCCAGACACCUACGGGUGGCUGCAGUCGAGAAUCUUCGGCAAUGAGCGCAAGCUUGACCGAGCGACGCCGCGUGCGGGAUGAAGGCCUUCGGGUUGUAAACCGCUUUGGUCCGAGAGAAAGGGCAACUUGAUCGAUCGGAGAAACAAGGACGGGCUAAGUUCGUGCCAGCAGCCGCGGUAAGACGAACCGUCCAAACGUUAUUCGGAAUCACUGGGCUUAAAGGGCGCGUAGGCGGCCGAGCGGGUCGUGGGUGAAAUCCCCCAGCUUA